UGCGUAGGCGGCUAGGCAAGUCAGACGUGAAAACCAUGGGCUCAACCUAUGGACUGCGUUUGAAACUGUUUAGCUUGAGUGAAGUAGAGGUAGGCGGAAUUCCCGGUGUAGCGGUGAAAUGCGUAGAGAUCGGGAGGAACACCAGUGGCGAAGGCGGCCUACUGGGCUUUAACUGACGCUGAGGCACGAAAGCAUGGGUAAGCAAACA
rnacentral:rRNA from 1 species